ACGAUCUGAAACAAUAAAUGAUUACACACUUAAUUUCUACUGUUUAGAUUAAUAAUUAAAAAAACUUGAAUAUAUGGUACUGUAUUUUUCUGUAAAAAUUAUUCAAAAUAUUUUUUACCGGUUUACUUGUUGCGAUUUAUGUAACUAAUAAGUAAAAGUUUAAAAUAUAUUAGUAAUUAGUUUAGAAGAUAAUUUUGUACAGAAUGUAGAUUUCUUCAGUGAAACUUGAGACGUAAUGUUGAAAUUUCAGUACAAAAGUAGUAUGAUGUUGCAUCUCCUUUGAAAUUGAACAAACAUCAUGUCUUCAAUAAUAAUAAUAAGAAUAAUGCAAAUAGCAAAUAAAAAAUCCCAAUAAUUAACAUAACUAUAAUAAGUUUGACAAAAGACCAAAUUAAAUUUGCAUACGUACAUAAAUAUAUUGCAUAAAUUAUAAGUCAUUUCAUUAUUCUAUCUAAUAUAACCUAUAAUUUGUAAUUUGUCAAUUACACAUAUGUAUUUAGUACAAAGUGAAAACUUUCUUCUGCUUCUAUUCUCUAAUUAUUUUAUUAUAAAUGUAUUCGCAUAUCAUGUUUAAUAUUAAUUCUAAAAUGAAUAAUGUAGUAAUACAUUAUGUAUGUAAAUUUAAACAUCUAGAGACAGAAACAAAGCAAUAAAAUUUAGCCAAACUCUUGCCGUUUUUCAUUAUGAUAAUUAUACUGUACUUUGGAUAUUCUUUGUAUUUCUAUAUGUAUAUGUAUCUAUUAUCUUAAAUGUAUUUUAUGGAGCUUGUAAUUUUUCAUGAACUAAUGAAUAUCCGCAAUAUGUUAAUAAUAUGAACGCUGAUGAAUAUUUAAACCAACAUUAUAUAUGAAUAAAAAAUUAUAUAUGUACGUAGUUGUAUGUAACGUCGUAACAUAUAAAAUAUAUUCAUACAUGCAGAUAAACAAAGUUUUAUUGUCAUGAAUUAUACCGAGAAAUAUUGACAGCAAUUAAAUACUAAUAAAACAAUUGUCUUGUAUGGACACUUCAAAUCAUGCAAUGAUAGUCACUUGACUGUAUAUAAAUAACAUGACAUGACAUGUACUGUAAUUUGGAGAUAAUAUGGAGUGGUACUCGAACAAUUGAGUUUUGUUGUUAUCCGAACUUCAUAAUUUGUAAUAUCAACGUGAAAUGGUCAUAUGAAAUCGUUCAGUGGCAGCAAAAGAUUGUGAAAAAUUUAUUUUCCCAGCUUAGACAUUAGUUCAAUAAAUAUAUAAAUAUCAUAAUGUAUAUAUGGAGUAUUGUGAUGUCCCUAUAGCUCGCCCAACGAGAUGAAGCAAUAAAUGUAAACAAGUUUAUUGCGAAUGCCAAUAUCGCAGUCGCAAUAAUAAAAUUUUCUUUAUUUACACUGCUUCAUUGGAGAUACUAUAUAUACUAUGUUAAUGUUAUUGACGACUACUUUGUUUGUUAUCUAAACAUUUAAAACAUUUGAUUUGUAAAUCACUUUGAUGUGUAAAUUAAUUUUUUAUUACAAUUUUGAGAAAUCAGUAAUUAUAAUUAAAUAUAUUCAAUUUCCAAAAAGAUCACUGUAUUAUCCUGUAAUUUCGACUGUUUUCAUUUUUGCGAAUGCAAUAUGCGAAUAUGAUACAAUAUCGUAUUCUUACGUCUCCUUAAUAAUGAAAAUAAUGAAAAUGUGAAAUAAGAUGAAAAACAUCACGCAAUUUCAGUUUAAUUGAUGUAAACGAAUCUUACAAGUAUUUAUGUAAAACAUGCCUGGAAAAUAGUAUACCGAUAAUUGUUUUCUAAUAAUUAACAAUUAUUUUAAGUCAAUUGAUAUUCUAUAAUUAAUCGUAAGUGGUUAUGUAAGGUGGAUUUGGAAAAUAAUCUAAU